rnacentral:lncRNA from 1 species
CCUCGAAAAAAGUGAAAUAAAAGAACAAGGUCUUCAAGAUUAAGGUUUGGACCAGAUUCUAAAAGAUCAGAAAAACGUUUCCAGGAUUUUCCCAAAGUUUCAUUAUCUUUUUGUUUAAAAGAUAGGACUUCGAGUCUAAGGUCGGCUAUACGGUCAAGGGAAUAGAAAUCUAGACAAAAAUUGGCUCGUAAAACUCCCCAUUCACCUUGUUGUUGACUUACCUUCUGACUGUACCAUUGUCUAGCUUCUCCCCUUAGAGAAAAAGGAAAAAGCUUCCAACGUAAAGUC